rnacentral:rRNA from 1 species
GAUGAACGCUGGCGGCGUGCCUAAUACAUGCAAGUCGAGCGAACAGACGAGGAGCUUGCUUCUCUGACGUUAGCGGCGGACGGGUGAGUAACACGUGGAUAACCUACCUAUAAGACUGGGAUAACUUCGGGAAACCGGAGCUAAUACCGGAUAAUAUAUUGAACCGCAUGGUUCAAAAGUGAAAGACGGUCUUGCUGUCACUUAUAGAUGGAUCCGCGCCGCAUUAGCUAGUUGGUAAGGUAACGGCUUACCAAGGCAACGAUGCGUAGCCGACCUGAGAGGGUGAUCGGCCACACUGGAACUGAGACACGGUCCAGACUCCUACGGGAGGCAGCAGUAGGGAAUCUUCCGCAAUGGGCGAAAGCCUGACGGAGCAACGCCGCGUGAGUGAUGAAGGUCUUCGGAUCGUAAAACUCUGUUAUUAGGGAAGAACAUAUGUGUAAGUAACUGUGCACAUCUUGACGGUACCUAAUCAGAAAGCCACGGCUAACUACGUG